GAUGAAGAACGUAGCGAAAUGCGAUAAGUAAUGUGAAUUGCAGAAUUCAGUGAAUCAUCGAAUCUUUGAACGCACAUUGCGCCCGCCAGUAUUCUGGCGGGCAUGCCUGUUCGAGCGUCAUUUCAACCAUCAAGCCCCAGGCUUGUGUUGGGGACCUGCGGCUGCCGCAGGCCCUGAAAACCAGUGGCGGGCUCGCUGUCACACCGGGCGUAGUAGAUUUUAUCUCGCUCAGGGCGUGCUGCGGGUUCCGGCCGUUAAAAAGCCUUUUUUACCCAAGGUUGACCUCGGAUCAGGUAGGAAUACCCGCUGAACUUAAGGAUAUCAAUAAGCGGAGGA
rnacentral:misc_RNA from 1 species